AAGAUUCAGAGGUUGGUUACCCCGCUGACCCUGCAAAGGAAGCGAGGAAGAAUUGCUGAGAAGAAGAAGAGAAUUGCGAAGGCCAAGUCUGAGGCUGCUGAGUAUCAGAAGCUCCUGGCCUCUAGGUUGAAGGAGCAAAGAGAACGUCGCAGUGAGAGUUUGGCCAAGAAGAGGUCUAGGCUCUCCGCUGCCUCAAAGCCAUCCAUUGCUGCUUAGUUCUUUCGAAUUAUUUAUGUCUCAGCGUUCUGUUAUCUUCAUAUUUUCCAUCUUGUUUUGCUUUUAAAAGAAUGUACUUUUUGCGGCUGCUUGCAUAUGACAUCUAGAAUGUUUUGGUAUUUUUGGUUCCUAAUUGACCAGUCAUUUCUUGACAUUACUAAAUAUUUUAUGAUAGUUGAGAGGAAUUUUGAAGGACCUUGGUGAGCUGCCUGCACAAUUAACUUGCUUUUCAAUU
rnacentral:misc_RNA from 1 species